rnacentral:rRNA from 1 species
AGAUUGAACGCUGGCGGCAGGCCUAACACAUGCAAGUCGAGCGGUAGAGAGGUGCUUGCAUCUCUUGAGAGCGGCGGACGGGUGAGUAAUGCCUAGGAAUCUGCCUAGUGGUGGGGGAUAACGUUCGGAAACGGACGCUAAUACCGCAUACGUCCUAACGGGAGAAAGGCCGGGGGACCUUCGGGCCUCGCGCCAUUAGAUGAGCCUAGGUCGGAUUAGCUAGUUGGUGAGGUAUGGCUCACAGGCGACGAUCCGUAAUGGUCUGAGAGGAUGAUCAGUCACACUGGAACUGAGCACGGUCAG